rnacentral:rRNA from 1 species
AUUGAACGCUGGCGGCAGGCUUAACACAUGCAAGUCGAACGCGUGGCGGACGGGAGAGUAAUGCUUGGGAAUCUGGCUUAUGGAGGGGGAUAAAGACGGGAAACUGUCGCUAAUACCGCGUACCAUAGGCUGAGCCCAAGUGGGACUAGGUAGUGGGUGGGGUAAUGGCCUACCAAGCCGACGAUCUCUAGCUGGUCUGAGAGGAUGACCCGCCACAUCGGGACUGAGACGCGGCCCGGACUCCUACGGGAGGCAGCAGUGGGGAAUAUUGCGCAAUGGGGGCAACCUGACGCAGCCAUGCCGCGUGAAUGAAGAAGGUCUUCGGGUUGUAAAGGUCUUUUGGUGACGAGGCGUUAUCCACAGAAGAAGCACCGGCUAACUCCGUGCCAGCAGCCGCGGUAAUUC